UUGGAAAUGGGGAGUUGUAGUGGAACCACAUUCUUAAAAAAACCCAGAUAGUAAGGAUUAACAAGUAGAGGUGGGAAAUACAGGAUAUAUAAGAGAUGGAAAAGCAAGUGAUUCCAAUCAGAGGAAACUUGGAGACCUGAAUAGCAGCAAUGGAAGACCUAUUUGGAAAGAGUGAUUGGAUCAAAUUAUGGAGAAUUUUGACAUCACUUGGUGGCAGUGGAGGGAGCUAUGUGUUGUCCAUCCUCACUCCAUUACAAGAGAUUACUUCAAAGUUGAUCUGGAGUAUGGAUUUCUAUGUUCAUCAGUCUUUCAGCCCUAGAGCUGUGAAUUACGGAAAGUAUUUUCUACUUCCAGUAGCAUUUAGGGAGGACACCAAAAAGUGUUUUUCUCUUGGCAUGUGAGCUUCUCGAGUGUGUCCUUGCUCCAUAAGUGUACUCUGGCACCAGGAAGCGGAGGCAGCAGCUUUCAAGUGAUAGGAGAAGCAGGCUGAUUAAGAGCUCUGCAUGGCCAGACGGUACUAAAGCUGCUUGCAGAGUCCUUGCCUAACAGUUGGUGGUUUUAAUGGAAAUUUUUCCAAUUUUGAAUCUUUUGAGUAGAAUUUAUUAUUUUCUCCUUCCCAGUUUCUUUACUUCUAAAUUCCUUCCCUCUCGAUGAAUGCCAUGAGUGUCCUAUCUUUCUAGGUACUCAGAUUUGAAACUUUAGUUUUAGGAAAAACUGGUAAUAACAUAAUUUAUUGAAAUAAAUUUAAAUACUUUAUCUAUUUUAAAACACAGAUGAGAACAAUUUAUUUAAAUGAACAGUGAAGACCCGAGCUGAUUUCCAUGGUAUGGGUAUUUGUUAUUUCAAUUGAUCUUCUCCCACUAUUUUCACCACCUAUCUCUUGAAUGCAUUCUGAAAUGAAAAUGAUAUCAAGUGCUAAUCCAUCUGAGUGUGCCAGUUUUCCUACUCUGUGGGAUAUAGCAUAGCUCUCUCCUCAAGAAAGCAAUCAAGGUCAUUUUCCCAGUGAUUUCCCUGAUCAGACCAGCCAGACAUACUCCUGGCCUCCUCUCCCUUUCUAUAAUGAUAAAAGAUUGUAUUUGUAAUGACACUAUACUUAUUUUGCAUCCUCUUGAGGCUCUAAUGAUUAUGACAUUGAAGCGUUAUCACUUGAGGAAAGACCUCAGGUGUGUGGCCAGGCAAACCUGUAUUCAAAGGUUUGCAUUUCGCCAAAGCAUUCCAUAGCCUCACCCUUCCUAUCCCCAGCAUUCUUUUCUUCUGGUACCUGGUCAAGAUUACAUUAAGACGUGAAGGAACACUUCAAGNNNNNNNNNNNNNNNNNNNNNNNNNNNNNNNNNNNNNNNNNNNNNNNNNNNNNNNNNNNNNNNNNNNNNNNNNNNNNNNNNNNNNNNNNNNNNNNNNNNCUGGUCAAGAUUACAUUAAGACGUGAAGGAACACUUCAAGGUACGCAGCUGCCCAUGUUCAAGGGCCACAGUUGCAUUUCUCAGAUUUAUGUAGCCUGUGGUUCGACUACUAGAGAAAAGGAAACCUCAUACAUUUUGCAAUGAGCCAAGGUAAAAGAGAACUCUUUUGUCAAGGUAAUAAUAACACUUAGCAAGUAUAUAGGGCUUUUUAUCUUCAAAGGGCUUUCUAAACAUUAGCUAAUUAAGAAGUCUGCUCAAUGUGCAGCAGCUGUUGAAAAAAUAAAUGUGAUGCUUGGGUGUAUUAAAAACGGGAGCAAAAACAUGAGGACAUCCUAUAUCAAGCAGCUGUGGUGCUCUGUCUUACUUGUUUGCUUCACCUGGUGGAAUAGAUCAGAUGUUGAAAUAGUCCUGCCCCAAAGCAAUAAUGGUUAGGGAUAAGGCAGAGCGUGCACACACUGGAAUCUUGCAAAGUUUACAGAAUAUUUACCUGGAGAAGAAAAGUCAAAGAAAAGCCUCAUCACUGCUCAUUAAGCUUUCAUAAUCUCAGGCAUAUGCAACACUAAUGAAACAGACAUCUGACGAAUAGGUAAGAUGCACUAAGAAAAAUCACUGAUAUAAACAGGUAUUCUCAUUUAUUCAUUCAAAUUCACUCAACAAAUAUGCAUUGAGCAAUUACCAGACAUUGGAGAUGUAUGUUUAAAAAUUACAUGGGAACAGUUUUAAAACAACUAUGAUUCCAUCUUGGUAUGUCACUUAUCUAUUGUGCCUUAAUUUUACAU
rnacentral:lncRNA from 1 species